GCCCACAGCCAUACCACCCUGAACAUGCCUAAUCUCAUCUGAUCUUGGAAGCUAAGCACGGUCAGUCCUGGUUAGUACAUGGAUGGGAGACUGUCUGGGAAUACUGGGUGCUACAGACU
rnacentral:rRNA from 1 species